rnacentral:rRNA from 1 species
GACGAACGCUGGCGGCGUGCUUAACACAUGCAAGUCGAACGGAAAGGCCCUGCUUUUGUUGGGUGCUCGAUUGGCGAGCGGGUGUGUAACACGUGAGUAUCCUGCCCUUGACUUUGUGAUAACUUCAGGAGACUGGGGCUAAUACCGGAUAUGAGCUCCUGCUCCAUGUUGGUGAUUGGAAAGUUUCGGCGGUUGGGGAUGGACUCGCGGCUUAUCAGCUUGUUGGUGGGGUAGUUGCAUACCAGGGCUUUGACGGGUAGCCGGCCUGAGAGGGUGACCGGGCACAUUGGGACUGAGAUACGGCACAGACUCCUACGGGAGGCAGCAGUGGGGAAUAUUGCACAAUGGGGGGAAGCCUGAUGCAGAAACGCCGCGUGCGGGAUGACGGCCUUCGGGUUGUAAACAGAUUUCGCAUGUGACGAAGAGUGAGUGACGGUAAUGGGUAAAGAAGCACCGGCUAACUACGUG